UACAGAGGUCCCGAGCGUUGUUCGGAUUCACUGGGCGUAAAGGGUGCGUAGGUGGUGAUGUAAGUUUGAUGUGAAAUCUCCGGGCUUAACCCGGAAAUGGCAUUGAAUACUACAUUGCUGGAGGAUUGGAGGGGGGACUGGAAUUCUCGGUGUAGCAGUGAAAUGCGUAGAUAUCGAGAGGAACACCAGUGGCGAAGGCGAGUCCCUGGACAAUACCUGACACUGAGGCACGAAAGCUAGGGGAGCAAACAGG
rnacentral:rRNA from 2 species